AGUGAACGCUGGCGGUAGGCCUAACACAUGCAAGUCGAACGGCAGCACAGUAAGAGCUUGCUCUUACGGGUGGCGAGUGGCGGACGGGUGAGGAAUACAUCGGAAUCUACUUUUUCGUGGGGGAUAACGUAGGGAAACUUACGCUAAUACCGCAUACGACCUACGGGUGAAAGCAGGGGAUCUUCGGACCUUGCGCGAUUGAAUGAGCCGAUGUCGGAUUAGCUAGUUGGCGGGGUAAAGGCCCACCAAGGCGACGAUCCGUAGCUGGUCUGAGAGGAUGAUCAGCCACACUGGAACUGAGACACGGUCCAGACUCCUACGGGAGGCAGCAGUGGGGAAUAUUGGACAAUGGGCGCAAGCCUGCUCCAGCCAUACCGCGUGGGUGAAGAAGGCCUUCGGGUUGUAAAGCCCUUUUGUUGGGAAAGAAAAGCAGCAGGUUAAUACCCCGCUGUUCUGACGGUACCAAAAGAAUAAGCACCGGCUAACUUCGU
rnacentral:rRNA from 1 species